rnacentral:rRNA from 1 species
AUUGAACGCUGGCGGCAGGCUUAACACAUGCAAGUCGAGCGGAGCGAGGGUGCUUGCACCUUAGCUUAGCGGCGGACGGGUGAGUAAUGCUUAGGAAUCUGCCUAUUAGUGGGGGACAACAUUCCGAAAGGGAUGCUAAUACCGCAUACGCCCUACGGGGGAAAGCAGGGGAUCUUCGGACCUUGCGCUAAUAGAUGAGCCUAAGUCGGAUUAGCUAGUUGGUGGGGUAAAGGCCUACCAAGGCGACGAUCUGUAGCGGGUCUGAGAGGAUGAUCCGCCACACUGGGACUGAGACACGGCCCAGACUCCUACGGGAGGCAGCAGUGGGGAAUAUUGGACAAUGGGGGGAACCCUGAUCCAGCCAUGCCGCGUGUGUGAAGAAGGCCUUUUGGUUGUAAAGCACUUUAAGCGAGGAGGAGGCGCUCUAGAAUA